ensembl:snRNA U6 U6 spliceosomal RNA
GUGCUUGCUUCAGCAGCACAUAUAUUAAAAUUGAAAUGACACAGAGAAGACUAGCGUGGCCCCUGCAAGGAUGACAUGAAAAUUCAUGAAGCGUUCCAUAUUGAA